rnacentral:rRNA from 1 species
GACGAACGCUGGCGGCGUGCUUAACACAUGCAAGUCGAACGGAAAGGCCCUGCUUUUGUGGGGUGCUCGAGUGGCGAACGGGUGAGUAACACGUGAGUAACCUGCCCUUGACUUUGGGAUAACUUCAGGAAACUGGGGCUAAUACCGGAUAGGAGCUCCUGCUGCAUGGUGGGGGUUGGAAAGUUUCGGCGGUUGGGGAUGGACUCGCGGCUUAUCAGCUUGUUGGUGGGGUAGUGGCUUACCAAGGCUUUGACGGGUAGCCGGCCUGAGAGGGUGACCGGCCACAUUGGGACUGAGAUACGGCCCAGACUCCUUCGGGAGGCAGCAGUGGGGAAUAUUGCACAAUGGGCGGAAGCCUGAUGCAGCAACGCCGCGUGCGGGAUGACGGCCUUCGGGUUGUAAACCGCUUUCGCCUGUGACGAAGCGUGAGUGACAGUAAUGGGUAAAGAAGCACCGGCUAACUACGUG